GGAUUAGAUACCCCGGGUAGUCCACGCCGUAAACGAUGGAUACUGGCUGUUGGAGGUAUCGACCCCUUCAGUAGCGAAGCUAACGCGUUAAGUAUCCCGCCUGUGGAGUACGGCCGCAAGGCUAAAACAUAAAGGAAUUGACGGGGACCCGCACAAGCGGUGGAUCGUGUUCUUUAAUUCGAUGCUAAACGAAGAACCUUACCAGGGCUUGACAUCCAGGGAAUUUUUGGGAAACCAAUUAGUGCCGUUUGGAACCCUGUGACAGGUGAUGCAUGGCCGUCGUCAGCUCGUGUCGUGAGAUGUUUGGUUAAGUCCAUCAACGAGCGCAACCCUUGUGUCUAGUUGUAUUUUUCUAGACAGACUGCUUCGGUAACGGAGAGGAAGGAGGGGAUGAUGUCAGGUCAGUAUUUCCCUUACGUCCUGGGCUAGAAACACGAUACAAUGGCUAGUACAAUGCGCAGCGAAGCCGCGAGGUGAAGCAAAUCGCACCAAAGCUAGUCCCAGUUCGGAUUGGAGGCUGAAACUCGCCUCCAUGAAGUCGGAAUCGCUAGUAAUCGCAAAUCAGCAAGUUGCGGUGAAUACGUUCCCGGGUCUUGUACACACCGCCCGUCAAACCAUGAAAGUGACCAACACCCGAAGUCCGAUUCGUCGGCCUAAGGUGGGGGGCAUGAUUGGGGUUH
rnacentral:rRNA from 1 species